rnacentral:rRNA from 1 species
GUGCACCAGGCGAGAAUCCUCCGCAAUACACGAAAGUGUGACGGGGCCAUCCCGAGUGCCGUCCGCCGAGGACGGCUUUUCCCCAGUGUACAUAGCUGGGGGAAUAAGGAGAGGGCAAGCCUGGUGUCAGCCGCCGCGGUAAUACCAGCUCUCCGAGUGGUGGGGACGCUUAUUGGGCCUAAAGCAUCCGUAGCCGGCUAGGCAAGUCCUCCGUUAAAUCCAACGAUUCAAUCGUUGGGCUGCGGGGGAUACUGUCCAGCUUAGGGGCGGGAGAGGCCGACGGUA